rnacentral:rRNA from 1 species
UUCGGAGGUAAGUACAGUGGCGCACGGGUGAGUAACGCGUGGGUAAUCUGCCCUUGAGUUUGGGAUAACCCCGGGAAACCGGAGCUAAUACCGAGUAAGACCACGAUGACUUCGGUCGAUGUGGGAAAAGGUGGCCUCUUCUUGAAAGCUACCGCUCAUGGAUGAGCCCGCGUUUGAUUAGCUUGUUGGUGAGGUAACGGCUCACCAAGGCUACGAUCAAUAGCUGGUCUGAGAGGACGAUCAGCCACACUGGAACUGAGACACGGUCCAGACUCC